AUUGAACGCUGGCGGCAGGCCUAACACAUGCAAGUCGAGCGGAUGAAGGGAGCUUGCUCCUGGAUUCAGCGGCGGACGGGUGAGUAAUGCCUAGGAAUCUGCCUGGUAGUGGGGGAUAACGUCCGGAAACGGGCGCUAAUACCGCAUACGUCCUGAGGGAGAAAGUGGGGGAUCUUCGGACCUCACGCUAUCAGAUGAGCCUAGGUCGGAUUAGCUAGUUGGUGGGGUAAAGGCCUACCAAGGCGACGAUCCGUAACUGGUCUGAGAGGAUGAUCAGCCACACUGAAACUGAGACACGGUCCAGACUCCUACGGGAGGCAGCAGUGGGGAAUAUUGGACAAUGGGCGAAAGCCUGAUCCAGCCAUGCCGCGUGUGUGAAGAAGGUCUUCGGAUUGUAAAGCACUUUAAGUUGGGAGGAAGGGCAGUAAGUUAAUACCUUGCUGUUUUGACGUUACCAACAGAAUAAGCACCGGCUAACUUCGU
rnacentral:rRNA from 1 species